rnacentral:rRNA from 1 species
UACGUAGGGGGCAAGCGUUGUCCGGAUUUAUUGGGCGUAAAGAGCGUGUAGGCGGCUAGGUAGGUCCGUUGUGAAAACUCGAGGCUCAACCUCGAGCUGUCGAUGGAAACCAUCUGGCUAGAGUCCGGAAGAGGAGAGUGGAAUUCCUGGUGUAGCGGUGAAAUGCGCAGAUAUCAGGAAGAACACCCGUGGCGAAGGCGGCUCUCCGGUACGUGACUGACGCUGAGACGCGAAAGCGUGGGGAGCAAACAGG